AGCCUGAACGCUGGCGGCGUGGCUAAGACAUGCAAGUCGUACGGUGUAGCAAUACACAGUGGCGAACGGGAGAGUAAUGAAUCGCUAAUGUGCCCCGGACUCUGAGAUAGCUAUCCGAAAGGGUAGGUAAUACCAGAUGACAUGCAGCUAUCGCAUGAUAGUUGCCUCAAAGGUCCGCCGGUCUGGGAGCAGGCGAUUUCGUAUCAGCUAGUUGGUGAGGUAACGGCUCACCAAGGCGACGACGCGUAGCCGGACUGAGAGGUUGGCCGGCCUCAUUGGGACUGAGACACUGCCCAGACUCCUACGGGGGGCUGCAGUAACGAAUCUUCCGCAAUGCACGAAAGUGUGACGGAGCGACGCCGCGUGUAGGACGAAGUCCUUCGGGAUGUAAACUACUGUCAGGGGUUACCAAGUUCUGAGGAGCCCAGAGGAGGCACGGCUAACUCUGUGCCAGCAGCCGC
rnacentral:rRNA from 1 species